GGCUUAGAGUUUGAUCCUGGCUCAGAUUGAACGCUGGCGGCAGGCCUAACACAUGCAAGUCGAGCGGAUGAAGGGAGCUUGCUCUCUGAUUCAGCGGCGGACGGGUGAGUAAUGCCUAGGAAUCUGCCUGGUAGUGGGGGACAACGUUUCGAAAGGAACGCUAAUUCCGCAUACGUCCUACGGGAGAAAGCAGGGGACCUUCGGGCCUUGCGCUAUCAGAUGAGCCUAGGUCGGAUUAGCUAGUUGGUGAGGUAAUGGCUCACCAAGGCGACGAUCCGUAACUGAUCUGAGAGGAUGAUCAGUCACACUGGAACUGAGACACGGUCCAGACUCCUACGGGAGGCAGCAGGGGGGAAUAUUGGACAAUGGGCGAAAGCCUGAUCCAGCCAUGCCGCGUGUGUGAAGAAGGUCUUCGGAUUGUAAAGAGAUUUAAGUUGGGAGGAAGGGCAGUAAAUUAAUGGUNNUGC
rnacentral:rRNA from 1 species